rnacentral:rRNA from 1 species
GACGAACGCUGGCGGCGUGCUUAACACAUGCAAGUCGAACGGAAAGGCCUUUUCGGAGGUACUCGAGUGGCGAACGGGUGAGUAACACGUGGGUGAUCUGCCCUGCACUCUGGGAUAAGCCUGGGAAACUGGGUCUAAUACCGGAUAGGACCGCACUUUAGUGUGUGUGGUGGAAAGCUUUUUCGGUGUAGGAUGAGCCCGCGGCCUAUCAGCUUGUUGGUGGGGUAAUGGCCUACCAAGGCGGCGACGGGUAGCCGGACUGAGAGGUUGGUCGGCCACAUUGGGACUGAGAUACGGCCCAGACUCCUACGGGAGGCAGCAGUGGGGAAUAUUGCAUAAUGGGCGCAAGCCUGAUGCAGCGACGCCGCGUGGGGGAUGACGGCCUUCGGGUUGUAAACUCCUUUCGCCAGGGACGAAGCGUUUUGUGACGGUACCUGGAGAAGAAGCACCGGCUAACUACGUG